AGAAUCCUUUUAUUUGGUGAUUUUUGGGGGUGGUUGGAAGAGUGAGAAUGAACAUUGGGGUAAAUGUAAAGAAAUAUCGAGCUGUUAAGGAAGUCGGGAAGAUUUUAAUGAGUGUUGGGGUCAUUGCCUACUUCCACCAGAUGCAAGUUUGUCAGGCUGAAUAUUUCCGUCAGCUGCUUAAACUUGUUACGUAGUAUUCAAUCAGAAGCCCUCUGGACUCUGGGAUUUGGGACAAACUUUCACUCUUGCAGUAUUCAUAC